UACGGGGGGGGGCAAGCGUUGUUCGGAAUUACUGGGCGUAAAGGGCUCGUAGGCGGCCUGCUAAGUCGAACGUGAAAUCCCCGGGCUCAACCCGGGAACUGCGUCCGAUACUGGCAGGCUUGAAUCCGGGAGAGGGAUGCGGAAUUCCAGGUGUAGCGGUGAAAUGCGUAGAUAUCUGGAGGAACACCGGUGGCGAAGGCGGCAUCCUGGACCGGCAUUGACGCUGAGGCGCGAAAGCCAGGGGAGCAAACGGG
rnacentral:rRNA from 1 species